AUGUGCAAAUAGGUUUAAAAAUAAAACAACAUUCUUAAGUGGGUAAUAUCUUCGCUUUGAAACACCCUUGUUCAGAGAUUUUUAGGUUGAUUAAACAGCUAUUGUUUCACAAUUGUAUUUGAGGUCUUCAUAUGUUGUCAUUAUGAUUGUUUUACAGGCGGUUAUGUCGAAGUUAUGAAAAGGACACAUUCAUUAAAACAAUGUGUGGGAGAGAUGUUUAAUGGAAGAGCCACAGAGAGUGUUUGUCCUCCUCCACAGAUGCAACACUAGGGGUGUUAACACUACUUGACACGUGUGUAUGGGAAUCCAACGGCUGUUAGUCCAUUCUCCUUUGGAAUGUGGAGACACCGUUCCAAGGUCCAAAGUGCAGUUUCAAAACAAAGAGCCAUUGAUGUAAGAUCAAUCAACAAAAAGAAAUGCCUAACAUCAUCAUCAUCUUAAUUUAGGGCAAUUAUCGGAUCACCAUUCUCCAUAAAUAUCAGACCAGAAGCUGAACCCUAAAGAUCUUCACACAGACACUAAAUAAAAAAAUAAAAAACUUGCUUCAGGUUAACCACA